AAAAACAAAAAUAGACAAACAAAUAAAAAAUAUAAUACAGUAUUUACAAUAAUUCAUAGGUGUAUUUUAUAUUUGGACAAUUUGUGUGUUUGGAUCGUUAUGUGUUAUGAUCAGAUGUCCUUGGUUUUGAUGAGCCAAUCUCACGGUCAUGUAACUUAUCAGUUGGUGUGGUGGCGGAACGUUUGGAUGAUUUCUGCUGAGGGGUUGUCAUGGUCGUCCCGAGGUAUUUAUCUAGUGGACCAUAAGUUGUUGCUGGUGAUUUGGAUGUUUUUUUCUUUUUCUUUUUUUUG
rnacentral:lncRNA from 1 species